UGAGUCCCUCGUGCGGCGUUACCUUAUGAACCUCCCCAGGGCCGGAAGGCAGCAAGGAUAAGUGAGCUCUAGCGGGUGCGCGAGGGGCCCAGCC
rnacentral:SRP_RNA from 1 species